UUCAAGAUGGAGUCACUGAUCUGCGUCAGCUAUGCCAAGUUGAGCUGUCCCGCAUCCGGUAAUCAUUUUCAAAGUAAAACACAAGGCAGAUCUGCACCUGUAACCAAAACCCGGUGGAUACCAGCCUAAUUACCGCUCUCAUCUGGCACCCAGCUGCCUUCCUUGUCCUUGUGUGAACCUGCACUGCAGAACCUCAGAAGGGGGAGUUUCAGAACGAGGCCUCAGCUGCUCGGAGCUGCUGCCUGCACAGAUGGAGCCGAGGAGAGAGGGAGGCUUUCAAGGACUCCGGGUCAAAUCGAUGCACAUGCAUCGUCAAUCAGCAACGACAGCUUCUGUCACAGUGGCAGAUGGUACGCUCUUCACAAAGAGAAACUCGACAGGAACCUCCUCCAGACACAAACCUCAGUGAAAUUAAGUUGAAAUGUUGUGGGACAGAUCAGCAAAAAGUAAGCAAGUAAAGACUUUACUGUCAUUGUACAUUUCUGUCCAGUACGUACAAAAUGGAAACAAAGUUUAAGGGGAAAUUAUAUGAAAUAAUCAACAAAUCAAAUAAAUAAAUAAACACGACGCCUAGCAGUGUCAAAAAGUGUCAAAAUUGUGUCUGUUAAGUGAAUAAAAGCUACAAAAUGAUUAAAAUCGCAUCAAAAGUUGAAAGUGACACAGAAGAACCUUUUUUUCUUAGCUUUUUUCUGAGCAUGCUGCUUUGAACGGCUGCAGUUUCUUGUUUCUUUUGUCCCAGGAAAUUAUUCAUCCAUCCAUCCGUCCAAGUUCUUCAUCGCGCCCCAAAUGUCCUUCUUCUCCCCCUGCAGCAUCCUCAUCCUCCUGGUCUGGGAUCAGCAGUCACUCCCAGGCCAGCUGGGAGUUGUUAUCCCACCAGCGGGUUCUGGUUCUGGUUCUGGCCCACUCUCAGCGCUCUGGCAGCCAGGAGGCUCAGGAAGCAGCCAACCGUCCCUAACUCCUUUUGCUUUUCUGUUUUCACUGCCUCUUGCUCUCUGGCUGUCAGAUUUCAUUUCCUACAGGCAGAUGUUCAGGAGGAAGAAGUGCACAGGUUAAAAAAGGAAAAAAAAGAGAUAAAGAUAUGAAAUCCUGGUGGAGUGAAGGAACAGGAUGAUCAGAAAUCGAAGUGAGGGCAAG